UUAUGUAUUGUUGUGUUUCCAUGUCAAUAUUAGUCAUGACUUUUGUAUGUGCAUUAAAUUCAUUUCAGCAUUGCGUUCUUUUGCUUUUUUGUAUUUAUUGUAUAUCUUUCGAGUGCAUUUAUUUGAACGUCAAUCAUAAGGAUGUAGAUCAAGUCUUGCUCGCUGGUCAAAUGUGUUACUGAAAAUCAAGGAAAGCAGUGAAAGGAAACCUUCCAAAAUAUGAUAUUGAUACGGCUAUGUUCGAGUGGCGAUUGCGUGAUGUAAAUGGAAAGGACUUUUACGAAGAAAGAAGAUAUUGUUACUUAUGAUGCUGGACUAAUGACUGAUUUGAAGUAAAUAGAUAGGAUACGACUGUGCAUAUCGUGGAGAGGCGAAGAAUCUUUUCAUCAC